UUCUGAAUCUUAUUUUAACCACAUUUCACGUUGUUAUCUCUAGUUAACAACUUUUUUUGGGGUUAAGUGAUUGUGUAUCAACUUUAACCAUAUUUGUCAUUGUUUAGUGUUAACAAACGCAGUCAGCUGUUUGGUGACAAUUAUUUUUGUGGUUAAGCUAACAGCAUCUAGUUUUUCUUUGUUAAGCUGUUGUUUACUAAUUUUGCUGUGAAGUUAAAUUGAGAAAAUUGUGAAGAUUGUGUUAAAAAAUGGCAUUUGCAUACAUUGCAUCAUAUUUAUAUGAUACCGAUAAUGAGCAGCCAUUAAACGUGCCAAGAAUUGACCGGCGGACCGGAUCAAUACAGCCUAUAUUGCUGAAAAUGUUCCUAAAUCUAUUACAAAACAACCAACCCAACAGCGCCCUUACACUGUCCGGGCGUUUCGCUUUAAACCAAUAAACAACAAUUGAAUUUGUGAGUGCCGGUGCUGUUGUGAAGGGUUAUUCAUGGAUACCACAAAAAGAGAUACAAAACUACAUCAAUGCUGUUGGCAUAAUACUCGCUUCUCUGCCUGAGAAAUGUUGGAAGGCAAAUGAUCCCCAUAGUGAGCCGCUGAUACCUAUGUGUCUUCAGUUGGUAAUUGCAUAGUUACUGCCGCGAGUGCGGUUCACAAUGCUCUUUGCCGCAUUCUUUUUGGCAUGGUCGUUUGUUGAACCAGCCCACAUAACAGACGCUCGUUUGGCAAGUUCUAUUUCCGUUGCUUGAUAAUGUGCGUGCGCUUUCCAGUACGGGAAGCAGUGAGAAGGUGGAUGGUGCUGCCUUGAGUAAAAAUUGUGAAGACUCGCUGGCCGCACUAAAAUCUCUGCAAGAAAUUAUGCAUGACAAUGCAGACAAAUUGGCGUCACUUGCUAACGAGGAAACAGCGGAAACAAAGAUGAGGAAUUUGCAGGAUUGCAUGGAAUAUUUGGCUAAAUACCGGCAUUGAAAGCACAAAGAUCACAACGAAAAACAACCAUGCCAAAGAGGAGUUUUAUGUGCCUAGUCAGGCAUUUUUAAUAGCGCUAACACAAAUUUUCUAGCACAUACAACUGCGGGGGUGAUACAUCAUUGAAUUCGAAUGUCUUCACUGGGCGCUUGGCGGUUACUGCUUUACUACAUCGAUUCCAAUACGUUUUGAAGCGUUUCAAUGACGACGAACGGCUGAUGGACGCCGUGCAAGGGUCACAGUAGUUCAUUCCGGGGUAUUGGUCGUAACUAUCAGUGAAGUGCACAGCUGCCAAAUGCGCAUUAAGUCAAUUAAAGAACCAGUUUGAUAACAAAGAAGGAUCAUACCACAACAUUACCGGCACCCUGACACUUAUUGAAUAAGUACCAAAUAAGUAAAUACAUAUCGUCACCUGAAAUGCAAAAAGACGUAACAAUAUCGUAAAUGAGAUUGAAAAAGUCGUGACUAAUAUUUUCAUUAUUUUUUUCAUAAAAUGAUGUGGGAAGUUGUAACUCGUUGAAAUCCAUUAUAUAAAUCAAAAAGUAAAUUUUGAAUUUUUUAUUAGUUAUGACUUUUUGCAUUUUAACAAUGAUUU
rnacentral:lncRNA from 1 species